GAUGAGAUAUUUUGUAAGACUGAUUGAGACAUUCAAGACAUUCCAGAAGCAUCGAUUAAUCUUCUCUCGUUUCUCUUUCUUUCUAACUUCUUUCUGAAUGUUUUAGGGUUUUGCUUAUUUGAUAUUCUGAUAGUUGCUCGUUCAUGCGACCUUAAGAUGGCAUCAGAGCCUCGAAUCGGCUUUUCACGGGCUUUCUUCCGAUCCUACCCUCAUCGAAGAUCUUUCAGUAUUCCACAAUUUCACAGAUUUUUGACUUGAGAGUUCAGAUAUGGUUUCCAUGGUGAAACCCUACUGAUUUCACAAUUUUUGGUUGGUGUGUUGUUCCUAAUGUCCAAUUCCAUAGAGUUUUGUUGUUGAACAAGGCGCUUACUUCUUCAGGUUAUUGAAGAAGACUGGUACCAUUUGUAGUCCGCAUAUCAUGGUCAGACAGUUCCAGUUUCCAGCUAGCAGGUGACGAGUUCUCUUUUUUGGGAACUCCAGACAGUUUUAGUUCAUGUACAGUUCAUUUAUUUUCCAUGUGUAUUGAUUAGUGGUAGUUGGAGGCAUGUCCCAGCUACUUAUAGUUAGUAUAGUAGAGGUUUCAUAGAUGUCAGUCAGAGUCAUUCAUGUAAAUCUCAGUUUCUUCCUUCAAUUUUAUCAGAUUGUAAACUUUAUCAGUAAUGUAUUUAUUCAAAAUAUGCCAUGAUUAUAUUUCCGCA